rnacentral:rRNA from 1 species
CAGCUCUCCGAGUGGUAGGGAUGAUUAUUGGGCUUAAAGCGUCCGUAGCCGGCUUAGCAAGUUUCCUGUUAAACCCAGCGACUCAAUCGUUGGAUCGCGGGAAAUACUACUAGGCUAGGAGGCGGGAGAGGUCAACGGUACUUCUGGGGUAGGGGUGAAAUCCUAUAGUCCCGGGAGGACCACCAGUGGCGAAGGCUGUUGACUAGAACGCGCUCGACGGUGAGGGACGAAAGCUGGGGGAGCGAACCGGAUUAGAUACCCGAGUAGUCC